CAUGAUGUCAUCGUGCGGGGGGAAGAACGCCCUGCCUACGGGAGGUCUGGCGCCCCAGGUCCGAGCUGUGCCUCUGUGUGAACCGUAGCUGCCCUGCUCAGUUUCAGGCAGGAUUGGCUGGAGGGCAAUGUGCCUCACAGGAAAGAAUGCCGGACUCACAGCUCUGCCAGGAACCAGCUCUGGGCCCUCAGCUGCCCCGUAGAUGCUUCCAUUUUCUGAUCCAGAAAGAAAAGAAGCAACAGACUACCUAAAGAGAGCAGGGUGUCAACAGUGUCAACAAAAGUCGCAAGUGCAGAGAAAAUGUCUUGGACAAAGCGGGCGGUCCUUGGUGCCUCUGAGAAAUGGGUUUCUGCAGCCAGAGUGAGCCAUGACAAAGAAUGCCGAGGGGAGAGAAAUGGAGACUGGUGAGAGACGGGUCCUUGAAAACCUUUAUUUAGCAGGAGGGCAAGGAGAGAGGGCAAGAGCAGGAGGAGCCCCAAAGGUUUGGAAAACUGGAGGCAAAUAAGGAGAAUAAGGAGAGCUGCCAUUUCUGAAGCCAGGAGGGAAUGUUCCCGACGGAGGAGAGCUGGAGAAGAAGAGCCCAAGAUGAGUGAGGAGAGAGCAGCUAAGGCGCACUGUAGAAAAAACGGUUUGAGUUUUUGAAAACUUUUUAUUGUGGAAAACUUCCAAACACAGAUAAA